GAAUGGUCUGUUUGAAACCUGAGCAGCACUGACUUCUGAGGACGACUGAGAUGGAGACAACCCCCAGUGUCCUGUCACUCCUGCAGUCUGAACUUCCAAACAGUCCACCUCCUUUGGUUUAAGAAGUCUUUGUAAAGUCAAUAUCCCUUCUAUCAGAAUGACCUGCACGUAGUCUUUGGGACUCGGGUUUACUUGCAGAGAUCUUCUGGGGAAGACAACCUUCUUUUUGAUCUUUUGACACAAAGGCAGAAGGCCCAUGACCUUCCUCCUGGUCACCUGGCUUGAGGAGAGCUGUUCCCCUUCGAGCUUUAGGGAGAUGACCCAGACAGUGAAGUACUACUUGCCAUACAAACAAGAGGAUCUGAGUUCAAACUGAACUCAUGACGAUAAAGAAAAAAGCUCUGACUCAUGGCCUGCAACCUCAGGGACAAGGAAGCAGACAGAAGGAGCCCAGCCAGUCUAGCAAAACAACAAGCUCAAGGUCCAGGCCUACAAACAGAAGUGAAGCAGUGGUGGGCGGCGUCAAUAAAGGUAGCAGAGGAAAGAAAGAAAGAAAGGAACCACAGGCUACUGAAGUGUCACAUUAAAUGUCAUGGGGACUGUGCUAAAUUG
rnacentral:lncRNA from 1 species